rnacentral:lncRNA from 10 species
UCCUGAUUCUCCUGUCCUGAGUGAGUGCAAGGGGCUCCCCUGUCGUCGAUGUGUUCUUUGAAGCAGAUGCUGUGCCUGAUACCUGCUGGAGAGUCCCACCGCCUUGAAUAUUCCUGCUUCCCCUUCGCCUUCCACCAUAAUUGUGUUUCCUGAGGCCUUCCCAGCCAUGUUUCCUGUACAGCCUGCAGAACUAUUUGCCUGUUCUGGAUGUUUCAGAUAAACGGAGUCAUACAAUAUGU